ACUAUGGAGAGUAUAAGAAUUUAUGAGUAAAUACAAUUUAUUGAAAGUAUGCUCGUUGAAGUAGUAA
rnacentral:ncRNA from 1 species